UUGAGGAGAUGCAGCCUGGAAGGAAGUGGGAGGUGCAGCUGCAGAGGGACAGGAAACUGCUGGGUGGGAAUCUGAAGUGAUGAGCUAGUUGCAGACAGACGGAUGGCUCAGCAGCACACUGUAAAUAACUUUGAUGGACUGUCGUCAAUGAUGCAGGUGUGAGGCAAGUCAAGAAAAAAGGAGGUUGAAAGAAUGUGGGGUGUACUGUGAGGGAAAUGCAUUCUUAUGAUGAUGCAUCUCAACAGUUGUGAAACACUGAAAUCCUUGGGCAGGACACUGUAAGUGUAAAAGAUAAGUCAGACAUAAAACCUUUCAGAGCACUGCAGCAAGAGAAACCAGUGAGGGGCAGCAGGUUUUCACAUGGAAAAUAUUACUGUCUUUCAUGUUUAAGGAAAUACGGAGCUCUGGCAGUUGGUCUCCUUCCAUUGCAUUGAAAUGACGACAUGCAAAUGUUUGCAAAUGAAUGCUACAAAACACUCCUGAACCACCAAUUUAUAACUGUUUUACAACUUUGUUGGAUACAGAAGCUCCGAGCUGAAGUUGACCAAAAUAUAUCGAGU